rnacentral:rRNA from 1 species
ACUCAAAGGAAUUGACGGGGGCCCGCACAAGCGGUGGAACAUGUGGUUUAAUUCGAUGCAACGCGAAGAACCUUACCUGGGCUUGACAUCUAUGGAACCUUGCGGAAACGUGAGGGUGCCUUCGGGAGCCAUAAGACAGGUGGUGCACGGUUGUCGUCAGCUCGUGUCGUGAGAUGUUGGGUUAAGUCCCGCAACGAGCGCAACCCUCGUUGUCUGUUGCUACAGGCUGUAAAGUGCUGAGCACUCAGGCGAGACUGCCGGUGACAAACCGGAGGAAGGUGGGGAUGACGUCAAAUCAUCAUGCCCCUUAUGUCCAGGGCUACACACGUGUUACAAUGGGUCGGACAACGGGCAGCCAGCCAGCAAUGGUGCGCUAAUCCCUUAAACCGCCCCUCAGUUCGGAUUGGAGUCUGCAACUCGACUCCAUGAAGUCGGAAUCGCUAGUAACCGCGGAUCAGCUACGCCGCGGUGAAUACGUUCCCGGGCCUUGUACACACCGCCCGU